CUCUUGUCCAUUGAUGGAAAUCUCCUCAGCCAUUUUGAGUAUAAAAGGAAAAUAUUUUUAGGAAACAAAUCAAAACUGAAUGUUUUUUCUCACUGCAGCUGAUUCAGUUGACCGAAACUGGUAAGUGAUUAUAAACAACAGGACUUGUUUUAAACAACUCACUUUCCCAGCCUUAAGACUGAAGACUGCUAGUCUUCAGUCUUCAAUUUGCAUAACUAUUAUGAAACCUCUUUCUAUUCAGUUUGAAAAAACCCCUGAAUUUCCCCCACCUGGUGAAUACUUAAUGAAUUUCCCCACAGGGAAAGAGCCACGGGGCUCUUUCCUUACUGGGCACAUACACAAACACAUAAACUCAGCUUUUCAAUUUAUAUUCUAUUUAUAAGCUCUAGUGAUCUUUAAUUUGUUCUUCAACACAAGUGUAAGAUCUUGUCAGAAAAUGGGAUUCAGAUUUUACCAACAUCUGACCCAAUACACAUGUGAUUUGAGAUUCUUUUUAAUUGAUACAUGAUCUUUGUACAUAUUUAUGGGGUAUAUAUAAUAUUUUGUUACAUGCAUAGAAUGUGUAAUGAUCAAGUCAGGGUAUUUAGAUUAUUAAUGUUGGUUAAAAUUUUAAAAAUAAUGUUAUUUACAGGGCUUUGAAUGCUUCCUGGAGACAUUGGGCUUUGUCAUAGAGACAAUGUGUAGCCAGAGAAGGAUUUAAGCAGCACAGUGACAAAAUCCCAUUUCUAUUCCAAAGGUUCCUACUAUAGUAGUGAAUGUAAGGGUAAGGAAAGGCAAAUAAAGGUCAGAAAAUGCAAAAUAAUAAGACAAAGGAUGGAAUAUUAAUAUUAGGCAAUAAAAUGUCUAAGGAAAAUUCUUAAAUAUCACAAAGGAAUUCAUUUAUAAUAAUAUGUUGUUUAAAAUCUUAUGAUCAAAUAAUAUAAUAUACUACUAAUAAAAAAUUUGCCUGAGUAUGAGAAACUAACAAAAGCAUAGUAAUCAA
rnacentral:lncRNA from 1 species